rnacentral:rRNA from 1 species
UUCCCCUAGUAACUGCGAGUGAAGCGGGAAAAGCUCAAAUUUGAAAUCUGGCGGUUUUUGACCGUCCGAGUUGUAAUCUAGAGAAGUGUUACCUGUGCGGGACCGUGUACAAGUCUCCUGGAAUGGAGCAUCAUAGAGGGUGAGAAUCCCGUCUUUGACAUGGACUACCUGUAUGUUGUGGUAUGCUCUCAAAGAGUCGAGUUGUUUGGGAAUGCAGCUCAAAAUGGGUGGUAAAUGCCAUCUAAAGCUAAAUAUUGGCGAGAGACCGAUAGCGAACAAGUACCGUGAGGGAAAGAUGAAAAGAACUUUGGAAAGAGAGUUAAACAGUACGUGAAAUUGCUGAAAGGGAAACGCUUGAAGUCAGUCGCGUCGGCUUGAAAUCAGCCUUGCUUUUGCUUGGUGUACUUUCUAGUUGAUGGGUCAGCAUCAUUUUUGACCAUUGGAUAAAGUCUUUGGGAAUGUGGCAUCCUUGGAUGUGUUAUAGCCUAGAGUCGCAUACAGUGGUUGGGAUUGAGGAACUCAGCACGCUUUUGGGUUUCGACCACACUCGUGCUUAGGAUGCUGGCAUAAUGGCUUUAAUCGACCCGUCUUGAAACACGGACCAAGGAGUCUAACAUGCCUGCGAGUGUUUGGGUGGAAAACCCAUGCGCGCAAUGAAAGUGAAAGUUGAGAUCCCAUUUCAGGGAGCAUUGACGCCCGGACCAGACCUUCUGUGACGGAUCCGCGGUAGAGCAAGUGUGUUGGGACCCGAAAGAUGGUGAACUAUGCCUGAAUAGGGUGAAGCCAGGGGAAACUCUGGUGGAGGCUCGUAGCGAUUCUGACGUGCAAAUCGAUCGUCAAAUUUGGGUAUAGGGGCGAAAGACUAAUCGAA